GAUGAACGCUAGCGGCAGGCCUAACACAUGCAAGUCGAGGGGUAACAGAGGGUGCUUGCACCUUGCUGACGACCGGCGCACGGGUGCGUAACGCGUAUGCAACCUACCUUUUACAGGAGGAUAGUCAAUAGAAAUGUUGAAUAAUACUCCAUACGAUCUUUGAGUGGCAUUACUUAAAGAAGAAAGCUUUUGCGGUAAAAGAUGGGCAUGCGUCCUAUUAGUUAGUUGGUGAGGUAACUGCUCACCAAGACAUCGAUAGGUAGGGGCCCUGAGAGGGGGAUCCCCCACACUGGUACUGAGACACGGACCAG
rnacentral:rRNA from 1 species